GGUAAAUUGCCCUAAAUGAGCACCAGGUGUCAUCUCGUGUGGAUGACAGAGGAACCUGGAAUGCAGCUGAGAAGCCUUUGGGCAAGCAGGAAGAGGUGGGCUUGGGCCAUGGGGAGUGGAGCUGACCUGGCAGAGGGGCCAAAUGUGCUGAUUUAAUGGAUGUGAGCACACACUGGAUGUGGAGGGGCUGGAUUGGGAUAAGAUGCAGCAGUUUGUCAGGCCCUGCUCGUGGAUGGCAAUGAUGGGAUCUCCAGGCUGGGUGACUGAGAGCUGAUCUGGCUCCACUUCCCUGACAGGAGAACCAGCAACGUCAGCUGAUCUAAGAUGGAAGCACAGAGCACAUCGACAGCCGUGUCCAACCAAGGACACAAAACCCAAAUUAAAAUGCAUCUGGACUGAUGUGCAGGUUUUCCAGAGGAAAUGGUCCCAGUUUUUCCUGUGCUUAUCACCACCACUUCAGUCACUUUGCUGCCCUGCUGUGAUCCCCUUAAUCUGAACAGGGUGCCCAGAGCAGCUGUGGCUGCCCCUGGAUCCCUGGCAGUGUCCAAGGCCAGGCUGGAUGGUGCUUGGGGCAGCCUGGGAUAGUGGAAGGUGUCCCUGCCAUGGCAGGGGCUGGAACAGGGUGGACUUCAAAGUCCCUUCCAAACCAGUCUGUCAUUCCAUAUUUCUAUGAGCUAGAAGCCAUAAUGACAAUAAUUAGUUCUACUUUCACCUGAGCCCAUUAUUUAGGAGCUUGUGCAAACUUAAAGUGAAAGGUGAUUAGUGCUGAAAAAAAGGUUUUCCAGCUAAAGCCCUCAUGUUGUAUUUGGGAGAAACUCUGGACUGAGUCACCAGGAAAGGUUUGGGUUUGGCUCUGUGCUGGGCACCCAAGAAGUUCCAGGUAUGAUUCAGGCAGCCAAAACGAGGUGAUAGGAGGGAUGCAAGGUGCAUCCAGCUGGGGUGCGUGAGAGCCAGGCUGCCCAAGAAGCUGCCUGAGAGAACCACGGGUCUGGAGAAAUAGUGGAGCCUUUGAAAUGGUUGUUGCCAUAAUAAGAAAAAUAAAGAAUUUGGUUUGAAUCAAACAUGAAAAAUUUGCCAAGGGGAAUGUGAAUGGAUUGAUGUGUUUUAGUCAUUUUGUCCUUUCUUACUCCUUUUAUUUUCCCAGUUUUGGAGGUAAAAGCUGUUUUUAAAGUCUUACUCACACAGCAGGGAAAUUAGGUGUUUUCACUGUCAAUUAAUAAAUCAGAAGGUUUCAGUGCUUUCCAGAUUCUGAAAGCUGAAACUUUGGGGGGUUUUCUGAGUACUUACUGAAGCCCUGAACACACCGCAGUUACCUGCAGAAGGCAAAGUUUUCCACAAACGUCUUAUCUGAUAGAAAAAGGGUGAAAAGAGUCAUUGCCAUCCAACUUGUGGGGCAAUGUGGGGCUGGGCCAGUCCCACUUUCUACUGGUACCAAACCAGCGAGCAUUGAGCUUCAAGCUCCUGUGGAAGUCACUCUUUUUUUUACCCCAAACAAGGAGAGAACUCUCGUGGUAGGGGAAGAGUGAGGCUGAAGGCACAAACAGGCAGUUAAUGUAUUCCCCUUGUCAACCCAGCUCA